rnacentral:rRNA from 1 species
UACGAAGGGGGCUAGCGUUGCUCGGAAUCACUGGGCGUAAAGGGCGCGUAGGCGGCCAUUCAAGUCGGGGGUGAAAGCCUGUGGCUCAACCACAGAAUUGCCUUCGAUACUGUUUGGCUUGAGACCGGAAGAGGUUAGUGGAACUGCGAGUGUAGAGGUGAAAUUCGUAGAUAUUCGCAAGAACACCCGUGGCGAAGGCGGUUCUCUGGGACGGUACUGACGCUGAGACGCGAAAGCGUGGGGAGCGAACAGG